GACAUGACUAAUUUUCUCUUUGUCAUGUUCCUUGGGCCAAAGACUGCAUGUUUUCUAAGAAGAGCUGUUAUACUACCUCAAAGAACAAUGAGCCCUCAGUUGUACAUACAAAGCAUGCAUGGAUGGUGCAUAUGCAUACUCACAUGCAAAGGAAAUGAUCUCCAUACCACAAAGCUAGCCUACCAGUUCCCAGGAUGACUGUUCUCUAUUCCCACCACCCAAAUGCAGCUGACAGUCCACGGAAACUCACAUUUUCAGUAGCUUCUUUUGAGUUAAUAUCCAUGGGCUGUCAUCUCAGCAAUGCAGAAAUGUGCCUGCACUUAUGACUGAAUAUAAGCCUAUGAUUCUUUCUGUCUUUGUAUAGCAUUCUUUUCCAUUUGACAUCUCCAUCUCAAAAAAAAAAAAAAAAAAAAAAACAAAACCCAGCAGAUCAAACAUGUCUAAAAGUAAACCCAUGAGUUUACAACCUUAGAAUCCACUUACAUCUUUUUCUUUUCUCAGUAGCUGAAGCUCCCUACCUACUAGGUACAAAAUCUAAAACAAUGGAAAUCAGCUUUGAUUCAAUGUACCAUCAAGUACAUGUCCUACACUUCUGCCAUCCACACAACUCUAUAGUCAGAGUAACUGCAUGAAUAAGAGAAUAAAGAGGAAGAAUAGGAUAGAAACUAAUAACAAGGAAUUGGCCUCCGCAGUGAAAGGACAUAACAGCAUAUACCAGUCUUCUGUCUGCAGAUGGGAAACUGUUGUUUUGUUGUUGUGGUGGUGUAGUUUCAUUCUGAAGGCUCUAACACUGGGAAUCAGACAACAUAAUUCCAGUCCAAUGGCAGACAAUUGGUCUCUUAAGCAGGCAGGCUUAAGAGUUAGCUCUUCUUUAUUUAAUUCUUUUGGGACCUUCUAUUGAUUGUAUGAAGGCUGUCUGCAUCAAGGACAGUCUUCUCUACUUAGCCCACAUAUUCAGAAGGUGAUCUCAUUCAGAAAUAUAUUUGCAGGUAUUCUUUGUGUAAUGUUUGGGCAAGUAUCUGGGCAAUCCAUGGUCCAGUCAAAUAGAUAUGUAAAUGUGACAAGAGUAAUCAUCUCAACAUCUAGAUGGACUUAAGUUGCCCAAUGUCUCUUUCCAUAUAUAUAUAUAUACAUAUAUAUAUAUAUAUAUAUAUAUAUAUAUAUAUACAUACACACACAUAUGGAGAGAGAUUCAAUUAAAUUAUACAUGUAUAUAUACAUAUAUAUUCAAUUACAUUAUUUAUUUCUACCUCUCAAUAUUGCAGUAUGCUUUUUUUUUUAAGUACACUGUAGUGUGUCUUCAGGCACUCCAGAAGAGAGCAUCAGAUUUCGUUACAGAUGGUUGUGAGCCACCAUGUGGUUGCUGGGAUUUGAACUCAGGACCUUUGGAAGAGCAGUCAGCGCUCUUAACCACUGAGCCAGCUCACCAGCCCCCGCACUAUGCUUUUUUAUUUUAAGUUGGUUCAUUCAGCUUACAUCUCUACUUUGUAGUCCAAUAUUGAAGAAAGCCAGACAGCACAGGAACUAAAACAGAGUAGAAACCUAGAGGCAGGAUCUUAUGUAGAGACCAUGGAAGAGUGCUUCUUACAGGAUUGCUUAGCCUCUACCAGCCCAGGAAUGGCACCACCCACAAUAUGCUAGUCCCUCUACCAUCAAUGGUUGAUUAAGAAAAUGCUCUACAGAUUUGCCUACAGCCAGAUCUUAUUCUCAAGUGAGGUUUCCUCUCUCAGGCAACCUUACUGACAUAAAUCUAGCCAGCACAUACCCUAUAUCAGCUCAGUGUGAGCAAAUCUUAAUCAAUUGACUUUGAUUCCUUCAUUCCCUUGUCUCCAUUAUCCCUAUUCCCACUCCCAACCUAGAUUACAUUAUUUUUAAAUUAUUAUUGUUGUUGUUUAUAUCCCAACUACAGUUUCCUCUCUCUUUUCUCUUCCCGGUCCUUCUUCCUACCUCCUCUCUACCUACUCCCCUAUCCACGUCUCUUCAGUUUCUCUUCAUAAAAGAAUAAGUUUCCAAAGACUGAAUUUCUUUUAUCCUACAAAAUUUCCUCUCCAAAAAGUCCUUGGACAUCUAUUCCUUUAUGAGGUUCUCUCUCAUCCUUAGGAUGUCAAAUGUGAGCCUUUCCCAUAUACCAACUCUUCCUGACACCCAAUUCAUGCAUACUUAUGGGCUCAUACAAUGUCCAAUGUUUCUCUAUCUAAGACUCUACCAGCAUACACAAGGAACUAUUACUACAAGUCAUUGUUAACAAGUGAACUCCUUAGCUCAAGAAAUAAGUUCACCUCAUAGACAGCUGUAGCCAUGGCAUUCUGCUUUGUACUAGGAAUUCAAUGAAGGUCUGAAGGUCAGGCUAGGGGUGAGGUCAGUGGUAAAUUAGUUGCCUGGUAUGUGCAUCAUCCUACACCAAAUCCCCUGCACC
rnacentral:lncRNA from 1 species